CAACCUGCUAUAAAAACAUAAGAAGAAGAAGAAGAAGAAGAUCCACACUUCCGGGUGGUGAUGACGUCGCGUCGGGACGUCAUAUUUCAAAAUGGCAGAGCCCGCGGAAAGACCCCCUGGAGUCGACUCCAUUUCCCAAGAAAAGAUGUCAACAGCGCGACUUGUAACAAUUAUAAGGCCGAGGAGGGUUAUUUGAACACACACCAUUCAAUUAUUAUAAAUGAAAGUCACGUUUUUUAACCGCUCCGGUCUCGUCCCAGCGGAAGUGACGCUAGCACGUCAUCAGAAUACAACAGAUCAACACGACGAGAGAGACAUUCUGCCGCUAGACAAAGGUCACCGAGCAGCGACGAAGUUUGCAUUUUCGGUAGAGGUCCAGGGAGCCACGAGGGCGGUGCUAAAGAGACGCGGGUUGCUGACCCCCGGCCUACACCCUAGACUGGCCGCCAGUUCAUCACAGGACACAUGAACAAGCCUUCGCUCUCAAAUCAGAGAAGUAUUCAUUUACUCUAACAUGAUUUUUAUUCAGUUCAAUGCAUUUAUUGUCAUUGUCAUAGUGAAUAACACACACACUGCAUAGUAACCAUGUAGCAAAAAUGCGUUAGGUGGUGCAAUCCUGACCCAUGAAACGCGUAAACACAAAGGGUGCCACGAACGAUGCACAAAAUUCACAGUCUGGUAUGGAUCGGUACUCGAGCGGCGCCGUUCGAUACAUUUUUUCAAUACCCAAAAGAGGGAAAUGUUCAUGCCUUUUUUUUAACUUGUAGUUUAUUGAAAUUGUCGUUGUCCACGACAGAAAACGGUCGGCAAGGCGAGUUUAUUUACAGAGCACAGUUCGUACUACAGGCAGGCCAGUCUAGUACCCGCACUCUUUUACUACGAAGCCACGCUGUUGUAACACGUGCAGAAUGUGGCUCGGCGAUAUCUUACUGAAAUAAGCAGGGGCGGCCAUGAAAAAGACGUCGCUUGGAUGGCAACUUUUGUUGCUCCAAAACCUGUAUGUACCUUUCAGCAUUAAUGGUGCCUUCACAAACGUGUAAGUUACCCACUAAUACACCCCCAUAUCAUCAAUCUUUAUUGCAGACCUUAAGAUCCAUUUAAACAUAUAAAAACAGAAUAUAAUACAUUAAAAAACAAAACAAUAAAAACAUACAUUAAAAACAAAACAAGUUUUCCAUACAAUUACAGACGCUGGGUUUUCAACUUUGCGCCUAGAACAAUCCGGAUGGUUCUUUUCCUCUUUGGACCGGAGGACACGACGUCCACAGUUUCCAAAAACAAUUUGAAAUGUGGACUUGUCAGACCACAGAACACUUUUCCAGUUUGCAUCAGUACAUCUUAGAUGAGCUCGGGCCGAGCGAAGCCGGCGGCGUUUCUGGGUGUUGUUGAUAAAUGGCAUUCGCUUUGCAUUGUAGAGUUUUAACUUGCACUUACAGAUGUAGCGACCAACUGUAGUUACUGACAGUGGUUUUCUGAAGUGUUCCUGAGUCCAUGUGGUGAUAUCCUUUACACACUGAUGUCGCUUUUUGAUGCAGUACCAACACAAAUACAACUUUGAAACUACGUGCUUUCUGAGAAGAUUACCGUAGUAACUAGUAUAUCAUGCAAAAGCGCAGAUUCCAACCAAUCAGUCCAUCUUAGAUGAGCUCGGGCCGAGCGAAGCCAGCGGCGUUUCUGGGUGUUGUUGCAUUUAUCAACAACACCCAGAAACGCAGAGUUUUGAGGACGAAAAUGAAUUGAUACCAUUUUAGAAUAAGGCUGUAACAUAGCAAAAUGUGGCAAAAAAUGAAGCGCUGUGAAUACUUUCCGGAUGCAGUGUACAGUAUAAAGGGCAGAUCAAUAGAAGUGAUAAUUAGACGUUGCAGUUCAUGGGUGGGAUGUGAGAGAGGGUCACUGCCUGAGGAUACAGACGAGCUGUUGGCAAGUUGUCCUGGCACGUAUAGACCUGUUCCUUCUACCUGAGGGCCGCAGGUGAGGAGCAGGGUGUUGUUGGUCACGCAGGAUGCUGUGCACUCGCCUCAGACAGCAGGUAGUGUAGACUGUGCCCAUCUCUGGAAGACUUGAUUUUUUUUCAGCUCUUUUAAUCACCGAUUAGAGAGUCUGCUGUCAUGGCACACUUAUAAAAGCUCACUCUUACACUAGGAAGCGGAGUCAUUCAUUGCGCUUUACCUGACACAUGAAACGUGACAAAUACGAUCGCUGAGAUGAAACGGAUCAGGCCCGUGAACAGGUUCUAUCCGGAUGAAUUUGCUAAGUAUACAAAUGAGCUGAAAUUUUUGUAUGAAAGAAACUGCUGUUUUAAAUGUGUCCACUAGAUGUGGCAAUGGCAAUUCUUUGUAUCUUUGUAGAUGAUGCUACAUACAGUAUGUACAAAAAAAAUAAAACACAUGAUGUUAGUGCAACAGUCGAAGAAAAUUAGCAAACUACAUAAAUAACAUCCUGUAAUUUGAUUUUGAUAUUUUUUUUUUAAUCUUGUUAGAUUGAAAAUGAACACCAAUGAGUUGACUGAUGAACAUUAUCACGUCAUUUAUUCAGAAAGUAUAAAUAACGACAAUUAAAGGUAGAACACUAUUAACUGCAACAUGUAAGUGUAAAAAAACAACAUGAUUUGUUUAUUUUUGAGAAAUUCUAUUUUUAAACAAAGAAAACAAUCUGAAGUUGUCUUUAUUUUUAAGUUAUCGUGCCGUGAUUUUACCAGUCCGGCCCACUUGGGAGUAGAUUUUUCUCAAUGUGGCCCCCGAUCUAAAAUGAGUUUGACACCUCUGGCCUAGAUAAAUUGGUAAACAUCCUCACAAAUAUUGAUAUAAAGCAUUACCGUAUUUUCCGGACCAUAGGGCACACCGGAUUAUAAGGAGCACUGCCGAUGAAUGGUCUAUUUUUGAUCUUUUUUUCAUAUAUAAGGCGCACCGGAUUAUAAGGCGCAUUAAAGGAGUCAUAAUAUAUAUAUUUUUUUCUAAAUGUAAAAGACUUCCUUGGGGUCUACAUAACAUGUAAUGGUGGUUCUUUGCUCAAAAUGUUGCAUAGAUGAUGUUUUACACAUCAUCUUCAAGCCGCUUCCGGGUGCGCCGUUUUGUGGGCGGUCUUAUUUACGUGGCUCACCUUCGGCAGCGUCUUCUCCCCGUCAUCUUUGUUGUGAAGUGUCAAAAGAUGGAGCUAACUGUUUUAAUGACAUUCAGACUUUACUUCAAUCAAUAACGGAGCAGCAUCUCCUCAUCCAGAAACAACAACACCAGAAAUGUGUCCCGUGAAAAACCGUCCGACCAGAACUCUAAUAACUAAAGUUCCUUGGGUGAAUAAUGAAAUGGCAACAGCAGAGGAUGGAUGUCCCAUAACAAGAAGGUGGAGAAAAGGAAGAAGCUUAUCGACUACGGUGUCGGCACGGACUACAAAGGCGG